rnacentral:lncRNA from 1 species
GCGCGCCCCUCCGGCGCUUGUCGCAGAGGCUGCCGGGAGACGUAGUCUUGUAACGCUCUCUCGCCGGACAUUCCUAAUGGUUAGCGCCCAGCCUGUGAAGAGUCGGGGGUCGGGGAGGGGGUCUCGCUAAGAAGGAGGUUUGCAGACCAUGGCAAAGACUGGAGCUAGAGAUUCGCUGGCCUUGAAGAAGCAAGCUGUCAUGUUGCGAACUGCCUAUGGAGAAAACUAAAUGGCAGGGAACUGCAGACGGCUUCUAGAACUUGAGCGCAGCCUGCAGCUGACAACCAGUAAGAAGCCAGGGCCCUCAGUCACACAACCACAAGGAAAUGAAUUCUGCCAACAACCUGAGAGGUGGCCUCCAGAUGAGAAGACAGCCUGACUUAAACCUUGAUAGCAGUUUUGUGAGACCCUGAGCAAAGAAAACAGAUAAACUGUGCGUAGACUCCUGGUCUACAGAAACUGUGAGAUAAUAAAUGUGUCUUAAGAUACUA